ACGAAACGAAAACAUUUUCGUUUUGCCAACACUGUUUUUGAUGCAAUUGCAUCAUGCAUUACAAAACAUGAUUCAAUUUCAGUCAUCUGUUACUAGCAAAGAGUUUUGACAUUCUUGCCUAAUGUAUAGGGUAUUGUUUCACACUUUGCUUAGGUAAUUUGAUUUCAAUUGCAGUACAAACUAUGGAAGAGUCUGAAAUGAAAAAUGAAAUCUUACGGCUUGAAGGUGGGAUAGAAUUCCUUCGUAGUCAACUGGAUAAGGAAAGAAAACUAUGCUCAGAGAUAGCUCAACAAAUUGGGGCAUUGGAUUAUAAUGUUAAAAACUACGAGAAGGUCUUACGCAUUAUUACUCUUCGAUACAAGCUGGAAACAUUCGUAAAGAAGUUAUAUCCCUGCGGUGUGGAUAAAUGGCAAAUGACUAUUUACGGAAAACCUGAUGAAUUAUCAAUAUGCGAUGCUGUAUCCGAACUUAUAAUGUCGAAAGAUGAUCGCUUUGUGAAUGAUGUUUUCGUGAAAAUGGUCCGUGACCGGUUGCAGGAUCGGAAUAUCGAUGGUAGUGUAUUCGUAAAAUUUUCACGCUGGCUUUACAGCCUAUUUUCUGAUACAGCGUGUGAUGUAUUGUCGGCUUUCUCGCCACCCUUGCCACCUUACACGGAUGUGAAUUGGAUUUGCGAUAUGUUGAGAUGCUUUGAUAUAGACCGCAAUGAUCCAGCAGUAAUUUGUGUUCAAAUUUUAAUUCAGCCUUUAGAUCUACCGAAAAUGAAAUAAUUGUUUUUCAAAUGAAAUGAAGAUUUUGAUGUGUUUACGUUCCUUUAUCUUAUGAGUGUUGAAACUUCACUGAAUUUUUUUUCACAUACUUUGAUAUAAAUUAUAAAAACAUGUAUUAAUUUUUCCGCGAAAAAAAAAUCAGAUCAUAAUAUAAUAAUUUAUUAAAAUAAUAAAAACUUAUUGAAAUAGA